rnacentral:rRNA from 2 species
GGAUGCGAUCAUACCAGCACUAAAGCACCGGAUCCCAUCAGAACUCCGAAGUUAAGCAUGCUUGGGCGAGAGUAGUACUAGGAUGGGUGACCUGCUGGGAAGUCCUCGUGUUGCAUUCC